CUGGACAUGAAAGACAAAAUUAUGUUUCAUGUUUUGCAAGGCUUUCCCAGUCUCUUCUGCUUUCUUUUUGCUAUGACCCCUUUACUGAGUGGCUGAAGGGUCUGCUUCCAUUCCCACCAUCCAAUGACUGCUUUAGCUCAGGAAUACUCAGCCUUUCCCAUAUCACAAAUGUCUUUUCACAUGUCCAUCCUCCCAGACCUGCAGGUACUCUCUGCCUUUUGCGAACAGGAUGUUUAGGGCACAUUUUUCACCUUUGUGGCUUCUCUGCUCUGUCUGUGGGGCAGGCAGUUACAGUGAGGCUUGGCCUAUGGCUCUUUAAAAAUGUAGAUUCUUUCCUCGACUUCCAACAAUGUAUUUCUUAUGCUCUGCCGGUAGGAGACCUCAGAGCAGACUGGUUGGGUUUUGUUCUGAAACUGUCACUGAGCUUGGGUAUAAGACAGGCUGAAAUGCUUUGCUGAAAGCAUUUUCAUGGUGGGAAUGCAGGAAUUUUAAUCCUUCCUGUUGCUGUUUCUUGUCUUGCUGCUCUGCGUGACUUGUUUUCAUAGUUUGUUUACUGCACCAUGCUAGAGAAGGAAAGAAACAAAAUGGUUGUUUCUGUGAGAAGUGCAACAGUUGGGAGGUGGUCAGCAAGCAAGGAACAGUCUACAUGGUCAAAACAAAAAACUUUUUUGAAAAAUGAUAGCAAAGAUCGGUUUUGCACAGAGAAGCCAUAACUUCAAAAAAAUUUUCAAUGAGUCAUUGUCCCAUUCUUACACAGGGAUCUGAUAUUCACGCAUAAAGACAGAAAUUUAAAGAAUAUCAGACUGUUCCCAAAAACAAACACAUAGGAGAAAAGAACAGCUUGCCCCCUCCACCUUUCACAAACAAAUGCCUAAAUCUUGUACCUAAGCUUCUGCUUGAAGAUAAAGGCCAGUCUGGGAGCUAAACCAAAGCAAACUUCCUCCUGCUGAAAAGGUAGGUAUGUUUAUUGGAUUGCCUCAAAAACAAAUUAAAAAAAAAAACUUUAAAAAAAAAAGGGAGGAAGAGGAAGCCUCAUGUCUUAGCUUCAAGUUGCCAUCAGGUUGCUGUCAGGGAUCAACAUUAUAAAUUAGCAUGGCAAACAUUAGCCUUGUCUCUUUGCUUGCAGCAGAAAUGCUGCCCUGUCUGUCUUUUCCUUUUUUGUCUCAUUGGGAAGUUUGCCUUAUCUGUAGCUCUCACGUUCCUGUAGCAAAUCUCAGACAAGUGGAUGGUGGGGCCGUUUGUUUGAUUGACCCAACACCUUCAGGCUCCUACCAGCAGCCAUUUUAAGCUGCCUUCAGGGAAUAAGUUGAUUAAAAAAGAGAAGAGGCGAAAAAAAAGGAAAUCAGAGGAAACCAGACUAACUUUAUUGGAAGUAUUGAGUGGGCUCUAUGAUAUAUAUGGAGUAGACAAAGACUCAGAUUUCCUUGUUUCGGCAAAGGUAAUCUAACAUCUACUCCGUUUACCCCCCCUCCAAGGAUGCUGAAGAAGGGUUAAUUUGAAUGGUUAUUAGGAACUUUAGUAUUGUUUAGCUACUAAGUUUCAAGCUCUUCUCAACCCUGUAUUUGCACUUGAGAGGGAGUAAAUAGGGUAUUUCCAAGAUAAGAUGACUUGCCUGAGGUCAUGUUGUUAACUUUGGAGGGUAGGGAUUGGGCAUAGAAACUGUAAGCUUUGGCUGGCUCCGGAUCUGUGCACUAGCCCCCACUUCAGAGCAUGAGUUUAAAUUAUGGAGCAUCUGACGUUGAUGAACAUUGUAGGUUAAUGUCUAAGACAGGAUAUUAUGUUUUAUUUAUAGGUAUUGCUUAGUGGAAAUGGUAGUACGGUUAUUUGUUAACCACGCCUGUCUGGAAGCCGUAUGAAAGCUGAAUAAAACCAAGUGUUUGCUGUCUCUGCCCUUCUGCCCCAACUGUUUUAUUUCUCUUUCUGUAAGUCCCGAGACUAGCACAUUCAAAAUGCAAAUGCUCUUUGAUAGGAGCUUCUGUGACUUUGUUGCAUUGUCUGUGCAGCUCUUGGUUUCAGGGGACCUUCACACAGACAAAUUGAUCAGCAGCAGGAGGAGGAAAAUAGCCGUUGCCGCAGCAACCAGUGAUGACUCAGCCCGGGUAGCAGGCAGCGAAAGCCGUGAGGCUGCAGUAAUUUUCCAGAUGCUUAAUCCAGCUCUUGGUUCUUUAUUUCUCUUGCUGACAGGCUGAAGUCCUCCUCUGCCUUUCUUUGCUCGGAGACCCACGCAGCCUGCAGCCGUACGUGAUGCAGAGGAAGGCCAGCUCACUUGGGGAGGAAUGUACUCCUGAAAUUGAGGAGCCAAGAGAAACCACACAUAAGGAUCAGCUGCUGCUUUUAUAUUUGCCAGAGAGCCCUCUGUGGAGAAAACUGGAAGAGGACGGGAUCAAAUACCCAAGGUUGGCCUUGGGAAAAUUAGAAUAUACUACAGUUGUACCUUCCAAAUCAAGAGUCAAGUUCUCCUAUGCAUGAACUCAGGCAGAAACCAGCUAACCAGAAAGAGGCCCACAUGUCAACCAGAAAGAGGCCCACAUGUCAUCAUAGAAAAAAGAUGUAACAAGACAGUUCUGCUCCUGGCACUUCUUUUGGAUGAUCCCAAGCAAGUUCCUUCUCUCUCUUGAAUGGCUUCUUUACAAUGGAAAAUGGAGGGAAAAGUCAUCUAGGUGAACUAGAAGCACGCAUUUCAAAUAGACCAGAUGAACUGGGUCCUGGCCCAUGGAUAACACGAGACACAGCAUUCAAGGGCAGGCUGUCUGGUGAGUAGGUUUGAUGCUUGGGUGACACCACCACGCACCUAUACAUAAUUCCCAAACUGCUGCCCUGUGUAGAGUAGUAUAACUGGGCUGUAAAUUGUACCCAGGGCAUUAGUGUUUCAGUUCCCCAGUGGCCAGUGCAGAUUGGGCAUCCCAGCAGCUGAGAAAAACAGACUAGUUGGUGAGAGCAGCAACUGUGCUGAGGUCUGGGAAGUUAAAAAUGGGUAUUUUUUCCUUCAGCAGUGCUCAUCUAUUUAUUGGCUUGAUUGUAAUCACAGCUGCCUUAACUUGUAACUAAUACUGUCCUCCCUGCAGCGUAGAUGAUGAUCACUUGUGUAUCAGAUACUGCUGUCUAUGUUUGCUUUUGUUAUCACCCACCAUCAGCAGGUCUCUUUGAAAGACCAGCUCUGACCAGACACCAAGGAGAAAAGAGGGAUUCCAGUUAUCCUCUUCCCUGUGGCUGACCAGUUCUUUCCCAUCACACAAACAUCACUGAGAGCUGAUUCUCCUAAUGCAGGAUGCAAAUCCAUGUGGCACACCUGGUUCCCUUUGAUCAUGUAUAAUUUAUCACGGAGCAUUCAGCAAAGCAGACACUCCCAAUUAAAUACAGCCUUCUAGGCACAUGACCUCUCUGUGCCUCUAACCUCCAUGGCUUUGAGAAAUCUGGUCUUAUGCCUGAAGCUAAGGAGGCCAUGCUCAGCCACUGCCAUGAAUGGUAGUGUGACCUUGAGGGUAUCUGGCCUAUCCAGACCCAGUGUGGAUGCAGUAAGUUAAGGCUGACAGCCUAAAAAAGUAGGUCUCAGUUGCUUCAGGGGCUGGUUCUGGUCUGUAGCCAUGGAUCACUUGGAGAAGGGGACCACAAUAUGACUUGUCCCCUGACUACUAGUUUUAAUGGCAUAGGGAGGGUAGGAGACAAUGGUGGCCACUUCUUGAGAGCUGAGAAGAGCAUGCUUGAGUUGGCUGGGUGGUAGGGUGGUGGUCAGUUCCAGGCUAGGUCAUUCUUGCAGGUAAUCUCCAGAACAUGCACCUGAUAGGUGGUCCCAAGGAAUGGCCCAUCUUACACGCAUUCAGCCCAAUUCCCAGAUCUCAAAAAAAAGGAGGAUGGAGUUAGAGUAUCAGGAGCUUAAGGGCAAGAAAAUGUGGAAUACAAUGUUGCAAUCCAAUAGGAAAUUCAGAGGUAAAACCAAUAUGCUUGGACUUCCAGAUGUAAUUUAACUGUCCUGUAAUGGUACCAUGGGAUCAAGGCACAGUAGUUAAUUGUGAUCGCAGAGGUGUCCCUGCAGAGAAACCCCAAGCCCCUGCGGGCUGGGCCGAGGGUGCGGCGUGGCGUUUGUGCAGCGCCCUGAAGGUCACCCCGCAAGGGCGGCUGCGGCUGCCGCGUGUGUGAGUCGUGUCCCCCCCACCGGGGACAGGGGACGGGGAGGUCCCGCCGUCCCCGGGGAGCCCCUGCCCGGCCGCCCCUCCCGGCAGGUGCUCCCAGCGCACGGGCGGCGGAGCGGGGCCGGGAGGGGAGCGCUGUUUGCGCUCGAUAUUCCGCAGCCGCGCUACACGUGAGCCCGGCGGAGCGUGGCGGGGCCGGCGGCUCGUGCGGGGCCGCCAGGAGCAGGAGCAGGAGGAGGGGAGGGAGUGAGGCGAUGCUCAGCAGCGCCCGGCCGAUCAGCUCUGUCGCGCGGAGCCGGGACCCGCUGGGAGCGGGAGGGGCGGGAACGCCGGGAACAGGCGGGC